rnacentral:SRP_RNA from 1 species
UCAUCGGUCCUCCCGCAAUACUAAUUCGUUCACCUGGUCAGAUCCGGAAGGAAGCAGCCAAAGCGGAUAACGUAUGUGCCGGGAUGUCGGCUGGUGAGGUC